rnacentral:rRNA from 1 species
CAACCGAAGCACGCCAACCGAGCGAAGAGUAAGCGGGGAGAGCAAGGGGAGAGAGAGAGCGGGGGCUAACUUGGGAUCGGCGGCGAGCGGCGACCGGCAGGAGCUGAUCUCUCCCUCCCGCGGCGGUAGCGGUGGUCAGGUGGUACCGGCGGAGGAGGAGCGAGGCCUAGGGGCGUGGUUGGUUGGUGGGGCGGCGCCCCCGCGCAGGCGCCGCCGACGGGAAGGUGCGGCAGAGGCAGGCGGGGGCGGCGAGGCGUCAGAGGAGACGGAGGCGGUGGAGGAGGGGCGUCGUCGGCGGCCGUGGCCCGCUGCCGCUGCUGCGGUUGUCCGGGUGGCCACACGGGCACGGGAUCGGGAAGAGGGCGCUGCGGCCCAUAGUGCGACGGAGCCGGCAACUGCUCGUGCCUAGACUACCCCGUUCGGUCCCCCUUCCGGAGUCCAAGCGAAUGGUCCCCACGGGCCCGUGGCGCCUAGACGUCCAGCUCGGAAGAGGAGGAGAGACGAGGAGAAUACCUCUAACCGGUUACUCACGGAAAAAAUACAGAACGAGGACCAUCUCUCAUUCUGAUAAUAAGAGAGACACGCGAAUUAAAACCAGCAAGGAACGGAAGGAACGAACAAAAAAUGACCACAUAUUUAUACACGGAAAAGGAGGACCAUCCCGGAUCCCAACGACGAAAACAAGGAAAGGAACGAAAUAAACAAACGAAGAUAUAAAACAGGUACCAGAAUCAUCGUCGGAUAACUUAGUAAAACAAAAGAACAUACGGAAACAACACAACGACUCCGAUGGUUUGUUUCGUUACCGUACGUAGACCACGUUCUGUUAAUAAUAUCAGACGGUACGUCGAUCCCACCUAUACAAAAAACCUUCUCGCCCCUAGCUUUCCUUCUACAAUGAUAGUUCCCUCGGACUUCUCGCUUCGAUCUUCGUCGUACCCCUCGUCGAUUCCUCUGUAGUUGUGAGUAAUACUCUUGACUGAAUACAUUCUCUACUGCCGUGUUUUGAACUUUGGUGUUUCUGAAGUGCAGGUGACAUGCAGCAAGCGAACCAACGGUGGUACCCUUUCCCCAAUCAAUCCCAAACAACAGUCCCAGGUAAGGAGGAAGCCUAACCGGCAGGAAGGAGAAAGUCUAGCUCUGAGACUUUCUAUGAGAGGAUUUACAGAGACUUAUACCUUCGAUAUAUAGUAGGUUCAUGUCAAAGCUCACCUUCCUGCAGCUCGACUGCUCUUGGCGACCACUACCACCACUCCUCCUGUGGUAGUUGCCUCGCCACUCCUGCUAAGUGUCGAGUUACGCGAACCGCUCCCCUCUGGUAACCUGCCGGGUGCCAGCGGCACAGGGUUUCUCCACUCGGUAGAGACUAGGUGGUGUGCUCCACGGGUGGCUCACGGAGGGGUUGAGUUGCCGGGGGUUGGGUUCAAAAUGAGUACUCUGCGGCUACUAACUACCUCGUCCUGGAUUGGUUUGAACUACAAUGUUCGAUGUGGGCAACAGUGGACUUCAAUAGAGUGCGGUUCGCUCCUAGUUGUAACCACUACGGAAUAUCAUGUCCGACAUCUUGACGUAACAGUUUAAAACUCCGUCUCGACCUGAUAUCCAUACAAAGUCUAGGUUGUUAGUACCACAGAAAGGGAUAAUAGCUACUACGCCUGUUACGUAGAGAACAGCGUACCUGGUGUUGAGGGACUUGAGAGGGUUCGUUAGAUCGUAAUACACAGUUACGGUUAGAACACAUACGGUUCCAGAUACGCCUGCUGGGCGAACGUCUUGUGUGGUUCCUCCGUUCCUCGAGACCGUAUGUUCCCUUAGGGGUCCAAGCACAAUCCACCAGGUAUACUUCAUGUAGCUGUUCCGUCUACCUAAUGCGUUGAAUAAUUAUAGGAAUCACUAAUACGGAGGCAUCAACCGAGACAAAUAAUACAAGUACAAGAAUAAUGGAGGAAAACACACAAGAGCGAAAGCCAUGGCUUGAAGUACAGUUUACCGAUAUGAAACAACAGCAUACUUGUGCAGCUCUAACUACGACGGAAUAUUUGACUAGCUACAACUAGAACACGAGGUAACACAAAAUGAG